UUACUCAGGAAGAAUACUGACACGGGGAGAGAGAGGCUGCUUCCUGAGUCAUUAUUAUAUCUGGAAAGAGGUCAUUGAUGGAGGCUGCAGAAGGUUCUUGUCUUGGAGGAUGAUAAUAGGUUUCAGCCACAUUUUUGAAGAAGGAUAACAAAGCUAAUGGAAGAUAUCAAGGAGAAUCAGCUGGACUGGGACCUGAUGUUUGACGAUACUUCAUAUUUCUCAAUCCACGGACUCCAACCCACUUUGAUUCUGAAAG